UACGUAGGGGGCAAGCGUUGUCCGGAUUUAUUGGGCGUAAAGCGCUCGUAGGUGGUUCGUUAAGUCGGAUGUGAAAUCUCCAGGCUCAACCUGGAGGGGUCAUUCGAUACUGCCGUGACUAGAGUUCGGUAGGGGAGUGUGGAAUUCCUGGUGGAGCGGUGAAAUGCGCAGAUAUCAGGAGGAACACCAGUGGCGAAGGCGGCUCACUGGUCCGGUACUGACGCUGAGGUGCGAAAGCGUGGGGAGCAAACAGG
rnacentral:rRNA from 1 species